CAACAAUAAAAGAGGGACGAAAGAUACCAAAGGGACAGUCAAACUCAUAAAUCUAAAACAAACUGACAACGCCAUGGCCAAAAAUAAAAAAGACAAACAGAAAAACAAUAGUACACACGACACAACAUAGAAAACUAAAGAAUAAACAACACGAACCCCACCAAAAACUAGGGGUGAUCUCAGGUGCUCCGGAAGGGUAAGCAGAUCCUGCUCCACAUGUGGCACCCGUCGUGUUGCUUAAGUGAUUACAAAUCCGG
rnacentral:lncRNA from 1 species